UCCGUAGGUGAACCUGCGGAAGGAUCAUGGUCGA
rnacentral:rRNA from 1 species